UGAACUAUUGAUGAAAUAAAAUUUUAAUAAGACUUAUAUGAUGUAAAAGCAGGAAUAAAAGAUUAACAUUUUUAUAUGAUUCUUGUAAAAUUAAUAUUUUUUUUUUAAAAAACAUAAAUACUAUUGUAAUGUUGUAAAAUUUUUUGCUAUACUACUACCGAAGAGUAAGAAAAUAAAGACUUCUAAAAUGAAAAUAUUUUUCAUCUAUAAAUUUAGUGUUUUGCUUCCACCCAGUCAACCUACAUAUGCAAUCUAUUUCUAAAGUUAUAAUGUAAGUAAUUUAUCAACAAUCAUAAACUUAAUAAAUUCAUAAGUGGACGACUGGAAAUGUACAAAAGAAUUCGGGCAGCAAGUAAUAAAAGAUUUUCAUCUAUGAAUUUCUGCCUUAAUAAGCUCUAACAAAGUAUCUUUUUCAAUGAAAAAGUAUGGUACUCUAGCUUUUCUCUUGGAACAUUCGAAAUUCUAAUUCAAAGCAACCUAUAGAAUAAUUUCCCUAUAAAUACACUUCCAUUAUAACUAUUUAACUUAGACAAGACUUCUAUCUACCACGAUCAUCUAUCAAUUUAUAAAAAAUCAAGGCAUGGCACUAAAUACUACACGGCGCCUUCAAUUCAAAUUUUAUUCAUCUUUAAAGUUAAUAUAAAUCUACAUGUCCCCAACACAUAUAUUUUAAAGAAUUUUUAAAGUUCAUACAAAGUUAGGCGUUUUCAACUUAAAUAAUUUUCAUAUUUGAUAAGAAUAAGAAAAAAAUAUCUCUAGUAAGAAAAAAAUAUCUCUAGUCUACAUACUAAAGGAAGAAAUUGGUUACGUGUGAAAUUGUGCCAAACAUAAACAAUAACUUGGACAAUCUCCUCUCUUAUAGUAAAGGCAGAUACUAUUUUAUUAUUAUAUACUAAUUAAAU
rnacentral:lncRNA from 1 species